UACGGGGGGGGCAAGCGUUGUCCGGAUUUACUGGGCGUAAAGGGCGUGCAGGCGGUUUGUUAAGUCUAGGGUGAAAGCUCCCGGCUCAACUGGGAGAGGUCCUUGGAUACUGGCGAACUUGAGGGAUGCAGAGGAAAGUGGAAUUCCCGGUGUAGUGGUGAUAUGCGUAGAUAUCGGGAGGAACACCAGUGGCGAAGGCGGCUUUCUGGGCAUUUCCUGACGCUGAGACGCGAAAGCGUGGGGAGCGAACCGG
rnacentral:rRNA from 1 species